rnacentral:lncRNA from 1 species
AUGGCUACCCAGUCCAAUAUUCUUGCCUGGAGANNNNNNNNNNNNNNNNNNNNNNNNNNNNNNNNNNNNNNNNNNNNNNNNNNNNNNNNNNNNNNNNNNNNNNNNNNNNNNNNNNNNNNNNNNNNNNNNNNNCCCCUGGAGAAGGGAAUGGCUACCCAGUCCAAUAUUCUUGCCUGGAGAAUUCCAUGUACGGAGAAGCCUGACAGGAUACAGCUCAUGGGGUCUCAAGAGUCCAGCAUGACGGUGACUGAGCAUGCCCACAUGAACAUAGGCUGCUCUCAACUGGAAGCGAUGUUGGCUUCUCUGUUAAGAAUAAUAAGAAAAUAAUAAAAUAAGUAAGAUUAAAAAAUAAAGAUAAGGAAUAUUGGAACAAGUAAAGUAAGUUUUAUUCAUGGACAUGUACAGAAUGUAUACUCAAAACAGAAUAUGCUGUUUUUGAACAUAUGUAGAGUAGUUCAGCUAAAGUACAGUUAAGAUGUAAAUUUGCUGCUCUGAAUACACAUAAUAGAAAACAAGGGACUAAGAAUUAAUUGGAAAAAAACCCCUGAUGUAAAUUGAAUUUUACAACUUAAAUUUAACAGGUAAACAUAAGGAACGUAGAAGGAAGAAAAUAAUGAAAAUUAGAGCAGGUGAUAAGGAAAUGGAAAAACAAAACCAGGAAACAUGGGUGACACCAAAAGCUGGUUCUUUGAAAAGAAGAAUAGAAUAUGUUUAGGACGGGCCGUGGUACAUGAGAAGAGGAACAGAGGGCCCUGAAGUAACUGUUAGUAGGUUAGGCAGAAAAUCUGGAGCUGUGUUGCAGAAGCCAAGAGAAGAAAGAGCAGGCAGCUGUGUCAAACGCAACUGUUGGGUGUUUCGACACAGAAGUGCCUGGUACCCUUGACAAAACUAGUCCCAGUGAAAUGGUGGAGACAAUUCUGCUUGGAGUGGGUUGAAGCAAAGAUUGGGAAGUGACAACAGUAAUUUACCAGCAGUCACAAAAGCUCCUUUUGAUAACGAUUUUUAUGUGUAGAGAGGGCUUCCCUGGUGGCUUAGAUAGUAAAGAGCCUGCCUGUAAUGCAGGAGAUCUGGGUUUGAUCCCUGGGUCACGAAGAUCCCCGGGAGAAGGGAAUGACUACCCAUUCUAGUAUUUUUGAUGGAGAAUUCCAUGGACAGAGGAGCCUGAUGGCUACAAUCCAUGGGAUUGCAAAGAGUCAGACACAACUGAAUGACUUAACAUUUUUAUGUACAGGAAGUAGAGUUAGAAGGGGCAUAUAGUUACAGGACAAUUCCCUCUUUUAAAAUGAGAUACAGGAGUAUGUUUAUGUGAUAUUGGACAGUCCGUUUGAAAACUGAUGACUCAGGUGAACAAGAGUAAGUUUAGGAACAAAACCCCUGAAAAGGUAACAUUAAAUGGAAGGUGAGUUGGUUUUCUGGUACCAGCAAGGACAUUUCACAGAAGUUGUGGAUAGGUCGUAGUUUUGAUGUGGGUAAAACACUGAGUAGCUCUCUAAUUGUUUCUGUAUUACUAAUGAACUAUAAAACAAAACAUCCUUUGGCAAGUGAGGAUGUAAGAGAAGGGAGGAGAAAGUGUGAAAUGAGGGUUUUAAAGGGUAAAAUUAGUGUUCUCAAAGUAUAAAGGAUUGUCAGAUGAUGUUGAGUCCUCAUUUGGGAUUUGUGGCCAAAAAUGUAAGUGAAUCGGGUACCCCACUUGUAAAUGUGUCUCUUAACAAUGUUGAACGUUGUUGAGCGGGUAUUGAGUUGGAGCAUGAUUGAGUUUCACAGCAAUGAGGGUUUGCCAUGCAAAUGUGAAAGAGGUACUGAAAAGCAGAGGAGUCAAGGAAUUUUGUAAAGGAGCAGUUACAGUAGAGAAUCAUAGCGUAUUGCCUGGGCGAGGAGAUACAUGAAGACAUGGCUGGGAUGUAUGGUGGUGAAUGAGGAAGGAUCAGUGGACUAGAAGUUUUGAGGUUGAAGAAAACUGAAUAUUCCAGUGCAAGACUAUUUGAAUAUUCUGGGGACAAGAGCUAAUUAUUUCAAAUCGAUGCUCUAAAUGCUCUCAACACAUCUAUUACAAGACUUACUUAGGAUACGUGAAAAAUUAAAACGUCACAAAGUUCAAGAAUAUAGUUUGAUUAUAGUGUUUAUAUCAGUGCAUCAUAAGAUUUAAGAAUUUUCUGGGAAGGUCCAUGCCGUUCUACUCUUAGACACAUAAAUGAUGAGGAAAAUUGUGUUUAUAGUGUUUAUAAAUUGUCUAUAGGUUGUUUAUAAAUUGUCUAUAAGUUGUUUAUAAAUUGAGUUAUAAUUUAGAUCUGCUCAAAUAGUAUAGACAGUAGUGGUGUUCAUUUGCCAAAUUGUGUCCAGCUUUUUGCAACCCAAUGAAUUGCAGCAUGCCAGGUUUCCUUGUCCUUCACUAUCGCCCAGAGUCUACUGAAACUCAUGUCCAUUC